AUUGAACGCUGGCGGCAGGCCUAACACAUGCAAGUCGAGCGGCAGCGGGAAAGUAGCUUGCUACUUUUGCCGGCGAGCGGCGGACGGGUGAGUAAUGCCUGGGAAAUUGCCCAGUCGAGGGGGAUAACAGUUGGAAACGACUGCUAAUACCGCAUACGCACUACGGGGGAAAGCAGGGGACCUUCGGGCCUUGCGCGAUUGGAUAUGCCAAGGUGGGAUUAGCUAGUUGGUGAGGUAAUGGCUCACCAAGGCGACGAUCCAUAGCUGGUCUGAGAGGAUGAUCAGCCACACUGGAACUGAGACACGGUCCAGACUCCUACGGGAGGCAGCAGUGGGGAAUAUUGCACAAUGGGGGAAACCCUGAUGCAGCCAUGCCGCGUGUGUGAAGAAGGCCUUCGGGUUGUAAAGCACUUUCAGCGAGGAGGAGAGGUUGAUGCCUAAUACGUAUCAACUGUGACGUUACUCGCAGAAGAAGCACCGGCUAACUCCGUGCCAGCCGCCGCAGUAA
rnacentral:rRNA from 1 species